GUCCACGCCGUAAACGAUGGGCACUAGGUGCUUUGGGGAGCGACCCCCUGGGUACCGGCGCUAACGCAUGAAGUGCCCCGCCUGGGGAGUACGGCCGCAAGGCUGAAACUCAAAGGAAUUGACGGGGGCCCGCACAAGCGGUGGAGCAUGUGGUUUAAUUCGACGCAACGCGCAGAACCUUACCUAGGCUUGACAUGCUGGGGAAAGCUGGUGGAAACACCGGCCCCUCUUCGGAGCCCCAGCACAGGUGCUGCAUGGCUGUCGU
rnacentral:rRNA from 1 species